CCAAUAGCGUAUAUUAAAGUUGUUGCAGUUAAAAAGCUCGUAGUUGAACUUCGGGGUCUACCCAUUGGUCAGGCUUAAUUGUCUGCACUGGUGAGAUGGAUCUCUACCUUCUGAGGAACUUUCAUGCCAUUUAUUUGGUGUGAUGGGAAAUCAGGACUGUUACUUUGAAAAAAUUAGAGUGUUUAAAGCAGACUAUCGUCUGAAUACAUUAGCAUGGAAUAAUGAAAUAGGACGGACUGAUUCUAUUUCGUUGGUUUCUAGGAUCACCGUAAUGAUUAAUAGGGAUAGUUGGGGGCAUUAGUAUUCAAUUGUCAGAGGUGAAAUUCUUGGAUUUAUUGAAGACUAACUACUGCGAAAGCAUUUGCCAAGGAUGUUUUCAUUAAUCAAGAACGAAAGUUAGGGGAUCGAAGACGAUCAGAUACCGUCGUAGUCUUAACCAUAAACUAUGCCGACUAGGGAUCGGACGAAGUUAAUUUUUUAACGACUUGUUUGGCACCUUACG
rnacentral:rRNA from 1 species